CAGCAGCCGCGGUAAUACGGAGGGUGCAAGCGUUAUCCGGAUUUAUUGGGUUUAAAGGGUGCGCAGGCUGAAUGAUAAGUCAGUGGUGAAAUCCUACAGCUCAACUGUAGAACUGCCAUUGAUACUGUCAUUCUUGAGUACAGUGGAAGUGGGCGGAAUGUAUCAUGUAGCGGUGAAAUGCAUAGAUAUGAUACAGAACACCGAUAGCGAAAGCAGCUCACUAUACUGUAACUGACGCUCAGGCACGAAAGCGUGGGGAGCAAACAGGAUUAGAUACCCUGGUAGUCCACGCCGUAAACGAUGAUCACUCGUUGUUGGCAAUACAUCGUCAGCGACUGAACGAAAGCAUUAAGUGAUCCACCUGGGGAGUACGAUCGCAAGGUUGAAACUCAAAGGAAUUGACGGGGGCCCGCACAAGCGGAGGAGCAUGUGGUUUAAUUCGAUGAUACGCGAGGAACCUUACCUGGGCUUAAAUGCAAGACGACCGUCCGUGAAAACGGACUUCCCCUCGGGACCGCUUGCAAGGUGCUGCAUGGUUGUCGUCAGCUCGUGCCGUGAGAUGUCGGGUUAAGUCCCAUAACGAGCGCAACCCCUAUCCUUAGUUGCCAUCAGGUAAUGCUGGGGACUCUAAGGAAACUGCCUACGCCAGUAGUGAGGAAGGUGGGGAUGACGUCAAAUCAGCACGGCCCUUAUGUCCAGGGCUACACACGUGCUACAAUGGCCGGUACAGAGGGU
rnacentral:rRNA from 1 species